GCACUGCUGAGGAGUCCCACAAUAGGACGAAGUGUCCAUCCAGUGC
rnacentral:hammerhead_ribozyme from 1 species